UUCACAUUUUUAUAUCAAACCUACAUGUUUCAGCUGUUUUUUCUUCCUCUACCUGAAAAAACCCUAGCAGCCAUGGAAAACCAGCAGCCAUACACUCUCCAAUUUUCCAAUUCCAGAUUCCUCAAUCCCUUCUUCUCUAGGGUUUACUUUUUUCUUCUUCCUGCAACCUUCCUCGAUGGUUUCCUCGAUUCCAUCCUCUCUUCCAUAGCCGUCGAACUCACCACCUCCAUUUCUUCUCCAAACUACCGUCGAACUCACCACUCCUCUCCUCUGUUCAAAAUCGCGGGCUUCCCUUUCCAUCAUCUCCAUUCCUUGACACCUCUUGUUUCCUAGCCUGACACCGUUCAUCAUCUCCAUCCCAUCGUCCAUCUCCAACUCCAUAACUACUUUACCUUCCUCAACCAAUUCCAGAAUGGGACGCCUUUGAUGCAUACAGUCUUCACCUCUGGAAAAUUGGAAAAAGGCCUUGUGCUGUUGAAGUGCCAUUCUUCUGAACCUGGAUCCUCUCCUUUCUCAUAUAUUCGGCCGGAGAAGAGGUUGCUCUACAAAGGCCAAGUAUCAUGACACUGAAGGAGCUGAAAUGAAACCAAGAAGAAGGAGAAGUGAUGUUGCACAAUCCGGAAGGGUUGAGAUUGAGAACCUUGGUCAUAUUGAGAUUCUUAUUUGUGCUCAAAUUUGUUAUAUACUACUUGUUACAAUUCUUUUCUCCUUGAUGAAUUGGAAAACCCCCUUUUAGUUAACAUGGUUAUUUUACUAAUUUGAUUGGUUAGUCCUUUUUUUCCCCUUCCUGUUUUCUGUUUUCAUUUUUUCUUUCUCUUAUGGGUCAACCAGUUACAAAAGGACCCUCUGUUAGUCAUUAUACCAAGCUGUUAUUUUCCUGAUAGGUUUAUAGGCUUAUAGUGCUAUAGCGUGGCAAAUGCAUAGUUGGUGCUAACUUCUGUUUUAAUAUUUUUUGCCGUCACUCCAAUCUCAUUUCUGUCGAUGAAUCUAUUAUAAUGUCAAAUUGGUCGUGUUUUAUACUUAACAGCUUGUCUGAUAUUUCAGUUGAUAUAUGCUCAUUACAAAUGCAUCAUCUUUGUACAGCUAGUUUAGAUCUGGUUCACUUGCCAAUAUACUUCUGAUUCUAAUGAGGUGGUCAUCAUGGCAGGUUUCUUGUAGCUUUCUCUGGGAAGUAUCUGAAGUAUGAUUACUGUGUUCCUUCUCCACAUAACUGGUCUGAAGACAAUAUUUCGUGUGUUUAUGACCUCAAACAGAAGAAUGUCUCUUUGGGCCUGCAUUUAUUGAGUGACAUUUUAUGUAAAUUUGGUGGAUGUUUUAGCUGUGAUCCUUCAAUUUACAUGGGUUGCAGCUUAUUGGUUUAGCACUUCCCCUGGCUGUUAAAACACCAAGUAUAUUUUGAUGAGGUUUUUAAAAGAGAAUGAAUAUGACCUAACAAUAGCACUUCCGAUGAGGCCACCCUAGUGGAAGGUGUAUCCUUUUGGUCUUUUCAAUUUCAUGUCAAUCUUGAUAUCCAUUUUUUCUCCUUCAUUGUUCAAUAAAUUCAGGCUCCAUUUCGAUUUGAUCAGUGGAAUAUUAUUUACUUCUACAGGAUUGAUUUUAUGAUGUGUGUGAGAGUAAUGGCGGGUGAUUAUAUCCUUUCUUAACUUGGCCUCGCCGCGAUGGUCCGUGAUCUCGAUUUGAUAACACUGGUGAUUAUAUCCUUUCUUAACUUGGCUUUGAAGGGGGAUAUUGCCCUGUUUAACCUACACUUCCAUUAAUGCCUAGAAAGUUCUACUAGAAAGUCAAUCUUAUUGAUUUCAUAAAUGUUAAAUAUAGGGAGUUUGUUCUUGGGUUAAUACUUAUAUCUCCUUUAUGCAAAUCUCAUUCAUGGAGUGAAUGUUUUUUCAACAAGGUUUCUUUCAAAUCCCCACAUACUACAUUUAAGAUUUGUCCAAUUGCUUCUAAUUUUAAGUGAUGACAAAUUUGUUAUAUUACUAUGGUUUAUAUGGCUUGUCUAAUUUUAAGGAGUGUUUGCUCCAGAGAUACUUUAGAAAUGUAUUAUAGUGCAAGGUUCUUAACCCUCGUGUAUUUAAUAUGUUGAGUUUUUCUUGGUAACCAAAUAAUAUGUUGGUUUAACCAUCAAGCUGUAUUGAAUUAACCAUUGAAAAUCAGA